GUAACGUUGUUUCUUAUGAAGAAGACAGCAUGUCAGAAACGCCAAUACCUGAAGGGUUUACUCACUAUAUAGAAAAAAAUCCUUAUUGGAGUUUGUAUUGCAGUUUGUAUUUGUAGUUCUUGACUUAGUAAGAAUACAUCUAGGUUGUUAGCUAGUGGAGGCUACUGAAUGUAUAUUUGUUAAACUUUCAUGUGUGUGUAUGCACGUGCAUGGGAAUGGCUAAGGCAUGGCCUGACCUAACGAGUGAGCACCUGGUGAUGGGCACAGCCAGCCCUGGGAGCACAGGUGAAAGUAAUUCACUGUUGUGACUCAAAGAGGGGUGGAACCUGGAUCCACCCUUCUCUAAGCCUCAUUUAAGGACUUACUGAGAGGAGGGAGGGUUUUCUACUUGGAGAUUUUGCCUUUUGGAGUAUUUUGUGGGCUCUCAUGUUUGCGCUAGAAAAAUCAACUCCUUAAUCUGGCCCAGGUCUGCGUGAGCACUUAAUGGUAGUACUGAGAAGAAAGAACAAGAAGAUGAGCGAGGCAGGACUGCAUCUUUAAUGAAUAAAUGAUCUCAUGUAAUAACAAACCUGACAGAUCUUCAUAAUUGAUCGCUAUUCUUCACAGAUGAAGGGCAUAGGAAGCAAACAGAAUAAAGCAGUGUAUGCUGCAUAUGCAAUGUGGACAUGUGAGUUCCAGUGCUCUGAGGACACAUUGCAUCAGAAUGGCUUUUCCUGCAAAAUGGGUCAUAGCUGUAUCCAGGGAAACCAUCAAUGGAAGUUCCUCUUAUCUUUCUUUAUGGAAGGAAAAUCUAUCUGUUUCUGUGCUAAAAUGCUGCUUCUGCAUGAGCCCUGCAGGAAUCCUGGCUGCCACUACAGUUUUCUGCAGUGCCCGAGGAUACAACUACAUCAAAGCACAUAUUUAAUUCCCAUGUUACUUCAACAGCAAGAUAUGUGCGCAGAUUGACCUGAAGAAAAAAAGACUGCCAUGGGGGAAAGUGACAUCCAUACAUGCAAAUGUAGCAGGAAAAACAGACUCUAAGGAAUGAUCCUGACUGUCUCAUAAGACUUAUUUUUUGGACUUUACAUCAGAUGCAUCCUUCAAAUGGUAACAUCUAGUCUUACCAAGUCGUCAUCAAGAAGAAAGGAGAAGUGCCAUGCAGCAGUCUGGACACUCAGUCACAGACCAUUCUCCAUUUCUUUCCAUUUCUUUCAGUUUGUUUGCAGAAAAGCUGAGAGAAGAUUGGAAGGCAACAGUCUACCCACUCAUUAUGUGCAAUGAAAUGUUUGCUCAGCUUUGGGCUAAAGAAACUUUCAGACAAGAAUACAUCUUCGUAAGAUUCCUAAAUAUCAGGGGCCUAACAAUAAGGAUCUCUAAGAACCAGACCCUGCAUAAGAAAUGCAAUAUUGACAGUGAGGGAUACACCAUGCAGAGAAGUAUUUUUGGGACUUCUACUUCUUGCCUUAAAAACAACAAAAAACCCUACAUUCGGAGAUAGUAAGGAAACCCUUGCUCUCAACCAGAAGAGUCUUGUGGCUAUCAUUUCUCUAUUUGCAUUGAAAACUCAGCUUUUCCUGUGAUGUUAGGAUUUUGGCAGCUAUUCCUUUCAGAACUCUACGUAUCAUGAAUGAGACUGGCAGACAAGCCUGAAGACACCCUGUUGAAGUUGCAGCCAAGACACUGAACACACUCAGCACACCGCUAGCUGACAGCAGACACUUCACUCUGCUCAGUGACUUACACUGACCGCACCAAAGAUCCACAGGGAAUACUCUAGACAGUGACAGUUUGCUACCCAUGCCUACUUUUCCCCAGUGAAGAUCUUCCAGAUAAAAGCUCUGGCCUGGCAGAGCUGAUGCAAAUGCAUUUGAGGGGGCAGAAGAUCUGAGCCUGUCUGACCCACGAUAAUUUGCAUUCAAACAAAAUAAAUCCAGUUCAAUUCCCAUAGCAAUUUUAUUUUGCUAUGAAUAGCUCAGGCAGCUCCAAUAGCGAGGAGCUCGGGUUACAUCUGAUUGCCAGCUGUAUUGCUUACUAAGAAGUUAGGUCAGUGGUUCCCAACCUUUUAAUUUUCCUUGUUGGAGUAUACAUUGCUAUGGAUUAGUUACAUGAGAGAGUGGUCACAAGGAACUCUGUAGGGAAUAAAGUAUCAGCUUUGCUGAUAUUCCACAUACACAGACAUACAUAUGUUGAAAUAUCUACGUGGGAAGGAGAAAAGGAGUGGAAUAAAAGAUCUUAGGCCAUUAAGGGAAUGGAAAACAAGAAGCAAAGAUGGCCCAAGGGUGAGAACGUCAAGCUGAUGCCUGCGUUAUCUGGAUUCAGCUCCCAGUUCUUUGUCAUACAGCUUCUCUGUUCCUUAUUUCUCAGUUUGAAAGGCAGGAUAGUAUAUUCUAUAUUGUAAAUGCUCAAAAAAAUUGCAAAGACACACAUUUGACCAGUCAGAUGAUUCUAUGUCCCUCACUAUAGAAGCUCAUGGCCUUUCUCCUGCUGCAGCCCCAGCCUUCAGGGUGCCACUCAGCAGCUUGAGCACACAAACCCAUAGUAGCUAGGUACUUGCCACUUAGCAGGACUCUGCACUGGUAAGUGCCCUGCCCGAAGACGUGCUGCUCAAAUACAGCUCUGACCACCAUCUGUGUCUCAUCACAUCACUGGGUAGACUUCUGCCAUGUGGUCCCCAUCACAAGAACCUGAGUGCUAAUACAUUAUGUGACCCAGAAAAGUGGUCACAUCCACUGGAGUCUGAGAAGGUUUGAUAGGGUCGCUCCUAACAAGAAAUUCCCUUACUGUAAUUCUGGCUGCUUUACACAUGGCUAUACAUAAUGUGAUUAUUUAGCAUUGACAAGAAAGGAGGAGUGGGAAAGAAUAAACUUAGCCUCUGCUUUUGCUUGUAAUCACAUUUUCAAAGCAGGCCAGUAGCCUGAAUCACACUGUCUUAGUUUCAGCUGGGAUGGAAUUGUUUUCGUCAAGAGUGGUAUGAUGCUAUGUUUUUGGUUCCAGGAGAAAAACAAUGCUGAUUACACACUGAUGUUUAUAGUUGCUGCUAAGCACUGUUGUACAGAGCCAAGGCCAUUCUCAUUGAAGGCCCAAAGGAGCUGAGAGGGAACAGAAUCAAGAUAGCUGAUUUAAAUUGGAUAAAGAGGUAUUCCAUAUCAUAUGACAACAUGUAGAAGAAGUUUGGAAGGGAGUGGGAGUUCACCUCCCUCUCUCUUCUGCUGCUCAGGGUGCUAGCUGGGCAUUGGUUGGGGGUGGCAACCAUAAGCAAUUGCUUUUGCAUCACUUGUUAUACGCAUUUAUAUAUAUGAAGUCAUAAUCAUUAUCCUUUUCCUUUUCUUUAUCUUAGUAAAUAGUUUUAUCUCAACCCACAAGUUCUACUUUGUUUCUGAUUUUCUUCCCCAUCCCACUGGGAAGGGAGGAGUGAGCAAAUGUGUAUGUGAUGCUUAGUCACCUGCUAGGUUAAACCAUAAUGCAUUUUCUUUCUAAGAAAUGACAAAUCAGUAAAACUUCAAAGGCAGUUCAUACUAUUAACUUGAAACAGGGCAGCAGCAUAUCACCAAAUUAAAUUUAGGCCUCACCGUUUUCUCAGUUGGUCACAACACAAGAAACCUUUCCAGGACAACUCCAUGUAGAAGUCAGAUACACAGUAAGCCCUACAGACAUCCUUAGUCUGCAGGUCUUAGUUUAGAGCGGACAUUUGAUUAAGAAGUGAGUUAUUUGCUAAGCCAAAUAUAGUAACUGCCAUCUAUAGUCCAUGUCAUGAAAUAUGCCCACAUAUUUCUGGGCACAGCUUACAACCUGCCUUCACAUUAUAUUGUCAAGUAUACCAUGGGUCCAAAAAUUUGAUUCCUUAAUUGUAGGCAAAUGCAACAAGCUAGCAAACAGUGGAGCCCACAUGUACUGCCUCAUUCCUGUUCUGCUUCAGAACUGUGCACUCUCUCCCACAAAUUAUGCUAUUUUUUAGUAUAAGAGAACGAUGCACAAAGGUGAGCAUGCCAAUUCUUUUGCUGGUUUUACUAGUGAAAUUAAAAGCAGAAAACCUGGGUGAAUUUGUCCCCUUUAGAAAAGCAUUUGAUACUCUUAUAAAUGAAAGUUUGGUGAGAAAUUAUUUUCAGUAAAAUUUUCUAAUUGCAGUAAUUUCUGUAAUAGAAGCAAGUUUAAUCUUGUGCAAAAAUCACUACAAUAUGUUCUGGUGAGGUACGAAAUAUGACACGGUGUCAAGACAGUCCUCCUAAAAUUGAGAUGAUAACAAUGCUGCUUUAAUUUUGGUCCAUAUUUUCUGUAAAAAGUGAGUUAAAUUCACCCCUUCUCACUCUAACACACCAAUUUACAUCUGUUGACAUCUGUAGUGGAAAUGCUAAGUCAUGGCUUAAAACAGGGAUUGAACACCUGGUGGGAAGGCAGGGCCAACCCAGGUGAGCUCAGGUGCAUGCAAUGCAUCUGAGUGACUGGAAGGUUUGGAGCCAGGAUCCACCCCUUCCCAGACCUUAUUUAAAGAUUGGCAGCGGAGGUAAGGGUUUCUUUUGAUAGAGAUCCCUGCCUAUGUGAAACCUUCUAAACUGAAAUGCAAAAAGUCAGAUCCAGAAGGUGAAGUGCCACAUAGUCCAAAUGCCACACUUGACUUCAUCAGGAUUUGAUUGUGAUUAGACCAGAUUGACUCUCUAAGGGAAACUGUGGGAACUAAAUUUGUGGAAAGACUUUGCUAUAGCAAGAAAAAUGCUCGUGUUUCAAGGAUAGAUGAAGUCUACUGAUUCCUUUAGAAGUUGCAUCACUGCUUCUUAAAGAAGAAAGAUAAACUGCCUAUUUAUGCAACAACUCUGUUUCUGGAACUGUUUUUAGGGUGCAAGCAGUGGUGCUCAUAACAGGCUGAAGUUUGGUGUGAGAGACACCAAAGAACAAUUUCUGUGCUCCUACUGCCAGUUAAGCAAUAAUGGAGCAGGCAAAAACAAGUGAACAGGCUAGCUCCUGUGGGCAGCCUUGAGACCUGUUGGAUGCUCACAGCCCACUGUGUUCAUGCAGAUGGGGCCAAACUGCUCUUAGACAGUGACACAGUAUUUCCUCUAUGCGUGUGCAAUUUUUUUUAUUAUAAAACCUGGAAAAAACACUACUGCUAUCACCUCUCCUGCCCAGUGUGGGCAGAUUACUUGUACAGCAUUUAACCUCUGAAAUUCAAGUUCUCACCCAUGAGAAAUCAGUUGGCUCACAAUGCCUGGGAUAACAUAAUCCUUGUGUUGCAGAGUUGAACAGAUAAUUUUUCAGACAGCUAUGGAGAAGGGUAAUCAACAAUAACCUAUUCAUCAUGCAAUUCAAUUCCAAUCGGAGGUCAAUAGAAGGCUGAAGUCAGAAGUAUUCUGUAUUUGUCUAGUAUAAUUUAAAAUAUCUUGAAGAAUAUGGCUUUUCCUCACUGUCACUUCAUUUUCCUUGAAAUGAUUUUCCUCCUUUCCUCUUGAUUGUAUUAAGAGAAGAAUAAUGGCACAAUGUCAAUCAAGACAGGGGACAAAAUGAUGGUCUUGUGAAACAGUUUGAAUUUUAUAAGGGACAGAGAUGUAAUGGUGUGUGAAUAUAAAGAAAGCCAAUUAACAUAUGUUCCAAUGCUGUUCAUUUUGUUCCCAUGUAAAAGCAAAAGUACAGAUUUGCAUAUUGACUUGUGGAAGGCCUAAAAAUAGUUUUGAGAAUAAGUCAAAUUGUCAUUUUUGUGCUUGGUUUCUUUUCGAGGUCCUACUGGGCCAAAUUUUGUCCUAUUUUUACAGCUGUAGUUUUCUAAAGGACCUUCCUUAUAAACAGCAAUUGUUUUGUACUUUCACCAGCAGCCUGGCUCACUGAUUUUGACGGCAGUUUGUCUGAAUAAGAACCUUGGGAUUUGUCUCAACAUACUUAAUUGGACUUAAAGUGUGAGCUCUAGGAAUAAGAGACUGUUGUUAGCAUGAACUUAAAUAAUGCUAAUACAGGGUGCAAUUAAAUGACUACAAAGAAUGGGUACAUGAGUUGCCUUGCCUGCCUGCCUCUUAGGUGGCCAGACUACAUUAAGAAGCUUUAAUUUUGUGGCUUCUUUGAUACUUUGAGCAAGUCCUGCCCUCAGACAUGUACACACAACUACCAUUGAAUUAAUACAUCUCCUGUUUAUCUCUCACUACUACAUCUAACCCUUUCUCCAGUCGUAGACUCCUCUGACAGCUCAGUGAGUGUAACAUGAUUCAUCCUUCCCUCCUCUUUCUCUUCCCUUGACUAGACACUAACAAACAACAGAAUUUGAGACAAGAGGCCCCUUAUAAUGAAAGAUUCAAUCACAUCUUACCAAAAACAAAGGAGGGCACUGGCUAGUGCAUGAAGCUGACUCCACUCUUCUAAUUGCUGCACAUAAAUAAAAGGGCAGAAUGGCACAUAUUCUCCUCUAGUAUAAGCAGGAGCAGUCUGUCAGGUCUCCACACUGGCGCACUUGUUUAGGGUUGAAUUUGGCCUAAGCAAUAAAAUUAUGUAUUUUAUGGGACUUUUAUUGUUCCAUUAAAUUGAUUAUAAUGUAAAGCUAACAGAAUUCCUUCAUGUUGUAUACAUAUUUCUUUAGGGGGCACAUGAUUUGUGUUUGCCUAAUACAUGACUCCUCCACCAAACAGCUGCAACACUCCCACAAAUGUUACAUAAAAACCAACUCAUUCAUUAUGAUCGAUAUUUUCUAUGUCUUGUGCACUGGAGUAUGCUAUAAACUUCCUCGACUCUUUCAGAGAAAGGUCUUGUUCACAAGGGAACAUCACUUCUGAUCCUAGAAAUACACGUUUAAAUUACUUUCAGGAAUGUCAGCAGUCAGAUUAUGUUCUUGAGACAACUUGAGUUGUAUUCUGCCCCAAUUUAGUGUGUGCUGCAAACAACUUGCCAUACAAGAGACAGAACAGAGAGAAAAAGUAUAUAAAAAGAGACAAUCAAACCACAGAGAGUAGUAAAGCUUUUAGGAACAAUGUCAUCCUGAAGUGGGUUUAAAGAUGGUGAACCUGACACUAAUAUCUGUUUUUAAUACAGGAGAGAGAAUGUCAUGAUUGAAAGGAUGGGCAAGGAGAAUACACAAAUGGCCAUAUUGAAUACUUCCUAAAAGAUUUUCUUAUCCUAACAGUGGCCUACACUAUCUCCUUCAGAAAACCCCUUUAUUAUGAGUGUUUGGCAUAGUCUGCGUUCCAGUUAUAUAACUAAAGGCAAUUACAGGUAAUUUGAUAUUAACUGAACAAUAGUGGGAAUUAAAUUUUAAUCUGAAUAAGUAAGAAUUAAGUCAGGACUUCAGAAAAAAAUAUAUAUAAUUUUGGGCAGAAUGAGCAGUUUGAAUUGAAAGUGAGAUGAAGUGGCAAGACAAACCAGUAGUCUGGAUGUACGCACUGGGAUAGCACAAGGAAUUGAAGGAAACUCUAAAAAGUCAUGCUUGACAUACACAAGAGUUUUAUUAAAAGUGAUAAUGAAUAUCAGUGAAGAAAGGAGUUGAAAAUUUUACCCAAUUUUCUAUUUGGGCCACAUUAAGAUGAUGCCAGAAGAACAAACUGCUUUUGUAUUUACAAAUGUAAAUGAACUCACUGACCCAAAGUUAAAAGAGUUGAACAAACAGAAACAGCCCUGAGAGUAAGAAUGUAUUAGCAAAAUAUAUGAAAAUUUAAAAAUAAAAAUUAUCAUAGUUGUUUUAAUAUUGUCUUCUCUCCAGACAGCCCAGAAUAUAUGUAUUUAUUUUUGAAGGCAUAUAAAGUACCAUUUUUUGAGCAUUUUUUUAAUAAACUGAGCGAAUCUGUGUGAUGUAGAACAUAAGCCUGAAUUUUACUGAAUGUGACACACUUUAUUAUUAGGUAUGCAUGAUGCUGUUACUUAAUGGCCGAUGGUGAAGCAGGCAUGUAGAAAUAUCUGAACAAGAUUUCCUGCAUACAAGUUAAUUUCAUCAAAAAGACUGGAAAAACACGGUACAGCAAGCAAGGCAUAUGCUGAAUAAAGAAAAAAGGGCGGGGAAAAGAAAGGAAUUUUCCUGUUGACAAUCAAAGUACCUAAAUAUUUGGGUGAUGAAAAGGCAAGAGAUAUCACUCAAAGCAAAUGUGCAUGCAUUAUCCUAAAAUGCUAACUUAAUUUACACCAGAUAAAGAGCAUGGAUCCAAGUUUGCCUUUUGACCCGUCGAGAAAAUUAUCUUGAUGGAUGGAAACAUUUGGUUUCCAAUCAACAAUUCAGCAUGAAAAUGUGAGGCCUUAGUGUCAUCUAAACUGUUAAAAUGUUAGAUGCACACAUAUCUUAAUAGAUGAUACUGAAGCAACAAAUUCUUGCUCCUUUCCAGUGUUAAGUUAAGGUCAUUCUGUCUAACAAACCAAUUCAUAUAGACUCUCUCAAGAGUCCACUCUGCAGGCAAUGGCAGAUAACAGACAACUGAAUGACUGAAUACUCUAGGUCAUCCAAAAAAUUAGAUCAAAGAGUCCCUGUAGUCUAUUGAAAUGCAAUUGCUUCCAAAUCACAUUGUGGUGUUCCAGGCCUGAAAGAAUGGGUCACUGCAAUUUUAUUGUAGAGAAGCUAUUGCUAAUGAAAGGAACAAUGGAAAGAUUAGUGCUACCAACCAUAUAGAAGAAACACCACUUUCAGUUUAAUUGCAGUGAACAAAGCAAAUAGGAAAGAAGGGCAACCAAGUGACAAAAGUAGUUGGUGCAAAGAGGAUAUAGAAGCUAUUCACAAGGUUCUCCUGGUCAGGGCAGAGCGUCCAGACUUAACAUAUGAUUACUGAAUUUGGAUCACAGUAAAAUGCAACGCGGUUGUCAUUACAAACAGCUGAUGAGACAUUUUUAAGAAAGCAGUCUUGCAAGCUGAAAGACUAAGAAUUGUGUUGAUAAUUUUCCUGCCAGGCACCAGUUGCACAGAAAUUAAUAAAAGGAUAGGGAGAAAGGAACAAUUAUAUGUCGAGAUACUGACUGUGCAGGAGAUUAUUAAAAGUUAUUUUAAAUUGGUAAAUGAAGUAAAACAAUUUAAGGUGACCUAUGUUGAAUCUUGGGACUGAUUAAAGAAGGAGACAGAUUCCAAUUGAUAAUAGCAUAGAUACUGAAAAGGUUCUGCCAUAAUAAAUUUUUUGAAGACACAAUAUUUAUUCUCUUUUGAUCAGUUUCUGGAUCUUUUGUAAGUAAAGCUUACCAGUCAUAACAACCUGUAUGUCGAGACAGUGGUAAAAGAUCCAUUUCAGUCUCAGUUAAGAUCACUACAUUCUGUUCCUCUGUGACCCGAGGCAGACUUGAACCUUCCUUCUCCAGACAAGACAUGACAAGCCCAGCUCCACUUAGCUCUUGAUGCAUGUUAGAAAAUAAAACGUGACCAAACAGGGAGAUCACCCAAACUCCAGCUGUUGUACAGAGGCAGAACGCUUCCCUUACAGGAAAUGGCAAACACCGCAAUAAGUUAAAACAGCUUUUGUCUAAAUAAAAGUGAUAAUACCUAUUAGUUUUGAAAAUUAAGUUUCCACAGAAAUUCCCGACUAAGCACAUUUGAUAAUGACAGUUCAGUACUACAAACAUAAAAACAAAAAAAUUCAUUCCAGCUCCUGGCAUUUGCUCCAAAGCCACAUUUGCAACUGUUCAAAUGAACUGGAAAAUACUAAUUCAUCUAACUGCUGUGACCAAUGCAUUUAAGUAGAGCAUUCAAAAUAUUACCAGACUAUUUCAACCAAUUAUCAGUAUUCAACAGCUCUUCCUAGUGAACCACCCUCUUCUCAAGUCUCUGAUUAUUAUUUCAAAAGGAACACUGGAUGUCUGAAGUGCCCCUCUUUUAGUCUUACCAUGCAGUUUGAUAGCCCUUAUCAUCAAGUACAUUUGCAAAAGAGAUUUCUAGAGGGUGACCCAACAUAUCCUUUGGACCUCUGAACCAUACAGCAUAAAGAUAGCUCCAUAUAACCUAGCACUGUUGAAUGUCACUGUUCUAAUCUGUGUCCAUAUGAAAUUUGUGAAGUGCAAGAUCUUCUGCCUUAAAGCCAUUAAUAACUAUUAAUUCUGUAGCUAGCUAUUCUGAAUUACAUCAGUAAAGACCUUUCUGGAGGAAAACAGCACUAUCAAAUACAUUUUGGAAAAAAAAAAAUCAUUUGUGCAUAGUAAUUUUUCAUGAACAGCCAUUAAUAGAAUGUAUGCAAAGACAGCAUUUAACACGUUCAUAAGAGACCAACUCAUCAAGACUUAUAAACCAAAGUAGGCUGGAAUUGCCACAGGAAGCUAAGGGAAAUUGGUUCAUAACUCCUGCUGUGUUAGGAAAUUCACCCUUCCUUAAAGCAGUUGACAAAACUAGGUAUACAUUUUUUUCUCA